AAGAUUUGGGAAAUGUCCAUGGAAAUAGCUCAUCCAGUACUACCUCCACCUCACACCUUUGACUACCAAAAGCAAGUAGGGAGGACUGUCUAUGGCGAUAAUACCCCUCAUCAACAAGAAAAUGAUAGAAUUCUAAAAUUGGAAAGUAGGCUUCUCUAAAGUACCUUCAGAUCCCACUGGGUUAAAACUGUGAGAAGAAUGGGAGCAGUAAGGAUACACAGAUAUCUGAGAUCGAUGGUGAACUGAAGCAGAGCAGUAAAAGCCAAAGAAAGAGAACAAAUGCCGAGGCUGUGCACAAUAAAUAAAAUUCACUGGCUGCUUGGAAGACACAGCGGUUGAGUGUGUCCGAUGCUGAGUAAUCAGAGACCAACUGGUUCUUUUUGUGUCUAAGAAUCAAUUUUUGUGACUAAGAAUCAAGAAGAAAACGGCUGCCAUUUGUGUGGAUGAUAACCCCAGAGAGAAAUGAUUACUGGGAAUCUGCUACUUCUUUUAUUUUUUCAAACAAGUAAAUAUUAGUAAAUUAUCAUUUACUGAUUAUUUAUUGGUAAAUAUUGGCCAUCACUAAAUAUUAGUAACACUUUUAUAUUUUAUGUCCAGGCAAUAAAAAUAAUAAUAAAAUCUUACGGCUUUUUAAACGUUCCACAUACUAUCUCACUUAAUUCUCCGAUAUUCCAAUCCUUGUGGACCUAUCAAACUUUCACCACCAAAAAAAAAAAAAAAAAUGGAUGCCCUGAUUUACACUCCUCAUUUUUUAUCUUGUCCUUUUUGCCUGUUUUAUGGAAACACUCCUACUACAUCUGUUUCAUCUAUGGAUACUCAGCGGAACAAUCUGCAAACGCUGUUUCUUAGCAACCUAAUCACGCCACCUGAUCUCAGACCAUCUUUGAACCAUUGGAGCUACAUUUAGCUUCAGUGUUGCUUCCCAGAGUCACCAGUCCAAGAAGCCCUGCUAGUAACCAGUGAUCCAGUCCAUCCCAUGCAGACCCGAGAGCAGGACCUCAACUUCCUGGGCAGAUGGAGAAAGGCAUAAAGAAAGGCAAAAUAUCUGAAAGACUGAGCAUUUUUACCACAAAAGAGUAUGCACUACCUAAAAAGAAUAUUUGAAACGAAAUAAUACAGCCUGCCCCAAGUCCACGGUUACUGGAGGAAAAGCAUUUGUGUGACCGAGUUACAAAAUGACAUCUCCACUCCCCAAGAAUGACUAUUUUUACUUGAAAAACAAUGACUGAUUAACAAGCUAUAGUCAGAGAUUUAUGAAUAAUUUCCUUAAAAUGAAUGAAUGAAAACCCAAGGAAGAACAUUUAAAACUUCAUGACAUGAACAGGGUGCAAAGAUUACCUUUCUUUCAGUUGCAGCAUGAAAUUCAAGUUUACUGAGGGUCCUGAUAAUGAAAGAAAGCACUCUUAGAAAGAUAAAUCCAAAGGCAAU